ACACACGCACACACACGCACACGGAAGUCAGAGGACAUACUCAGGUCAUGUAUGUAUAUAUAUAUAUAUAUAUACACACACACACACACGCACACACACGCACACACACGCACGCACACGGAAGUCAGAGGACAUACUCAGGUCUUGACCCUCAGGAAGCCUUCAUUCAUUCAUUCAUUCAUUCAUUGAGGCAGGGUGUCUCAUUAUCUUAGAAUUUCACCAGGCAGGCUAGACCAGCCAGCCAGCAAGUUCAGGGAUCGUCCUGUCUAGCUCGGAUCACACCAUCAACUCCAUCACUGGGGCUAUAAGCCUAUACUAAGUCCUCGCAAGCCCAUGCACACUGGUUGUGGUGUGGAGGGACAUUUGCAUGGCCUUACCCAGGUGUGGCAGACUAACAUAGAUGGUCCUUGUGCUCCCUGGUGGAGCUUGGUGCCUUCUUUUUAUGAAUGCCUAGUUGUUUCUCUAAGUCUAAGCACGUCACUGUUCCUGGUGUUCCUAAAGCAGCUGUUUCCCAGGGUAGAAUUCAAAGCUUUAGGCCUCUCCUGUGGCAGUAAGGGCUGGGCAUCCCUUCUGAGGGGCUCUGGUAUUCCUCUGUACCCCAAACUACCCGCCUAAAGCAAACGCUCAGAUGGCUCUGCCCUCUGGAAGGAAACCAGGCUUUCGUCCCUGUCAGGGGCAGAAAGCCCAGCCUGCUGUGAGGCUACGUGGUGGCCCUCAGUGAAGGGUCUGACCUUGUGGGCUAAGGCUGCCACGGAACAUCACUGUGCCAGUCCCUAAGCCGCACUCAGUCCCACACAAUGGCUGAACUUUUCUUUGCUUUCAAGAUUUAAUCCUCGAUUUUCGUCAGCUUGGACAUACUGUGUGGGUUUCGCUCCUUGCAUAACCAAGCCAUUACAGGUCUCACAGAUCAAUAAUUUACUCACCAUUGAUGAGAUGGGUUAUUUCCACCAAGUCGGACAUCGUGGUUUGGUUUGUGUGCUUUAUGAUCAGUCCGUGGUACUUCAGGAGGCUUAUAUUUCUGUCCUCUAGGAGCCUAGACACACUUCUGGAAGCAGCGCCUGCAAUUAGGUAGCACCUGGAAGCCACAGCAGCAUAGAGGCUGUCCCACUGCUCGGAGUCCUGGGCAGACAUUUGAGAGUUGAUCGUUAUAAUGCCUUGAACGCCAUCACAAAACAACAGGGAGAGCAGCACAUAAUCAAGUCACACACUUCUUCUGAAACAUAAAAUAUUUUUCUUGACAUCUGUGCCCUAAGGAACUCCAUGUCACUGUCAGACAAAUUAAAAGCCUUGUGGAGAGAAGCUUCAAGUAAUUUGAUUUGAGCCUAAAGAUCUUGUGGGAAAAAAUAAAGACAAAAUCCAAAAACA
rnacentral:sRNA from 1 species